rnacentral:rRNA from 1 species
GGUUAGCAGAACGAGCUGGAAAGCUUAGCCAGAGACUGUGAUAGCCAGGUAUGCGAAAACGACGCUGACCUUAUUCUGUAUUCUCGAGUAGGUCGGGGCACGAGAAACCCUGAUUGAAUCCGGCUGGACCACCAGCCAAGGCUAAAUAUAGUAUAUGAUCGAUAGUGAACUAGUACGGUGACGGAAAGGUGAAAAGAACCCCGGGAGGGGAGUGAAAUAGAACCUGAAAUUUUGUGCCUACAAGGAGUCGGAGCCCAGCACCUUUGAAAUCGAGUGGUACAAUGUAGGCGGAUGUUCUACGUGUACGUUUUGCAAAGUGAUCGGGAAUCAGAUCAAAUUUACUUCGGUCAGACUAGUGACUUAAGACGACGUCUCUCGGAGCAUAAUUCUGGCAAGGAUACUUAUACCAAGAUAUAUGCGCCAUGGAAGGUUGUCUAUUAUGAAGCCUAUUCAUCACGUAAGCUAGCAAUGGCCCGUGAGAGACAGCUGAAAGCUUAUGGACAAGCCAGGACUGCUCUAAAGAAGAGACUAAAUUUGAUCUGAUACUCGAUUUCAAAGGUGCUGGGUGACGGCGUGCUUUUUGUAGAACGAUCCAGCGAGUUAAUUUUUACGGCGAGGUUAAGUCAGAUGAUGAAGCCAUAGUGAAAGCGAGCAUUAACAGUGCGAUUUAGUCGUAAGGAUUAGACCCGAAACCAGGUGACCUAACCAUGAGCAGGUUGAAGCAACCUUAAUCGGUUGUGGAGGACCGAACCAGUGUAUAUUGCAAAAUGCUUGGAUGACUUGUGGUUAGCGGUGAAAUGCCAAUCGAACUUGGAGAUAGCUGGUUCUCCGCGAAAUAGUUAUAGGACUAGCGUCGUGUGAUAGCUUACGGGGGUAGAGCUCUGUCAAGAGAUAGGGGGAGCAAUCCUACCUACUCUUAAUAAACUACGAAUACCGUAUGUCUGUAUCACGGCAGUUAGAACGUCGGUGCUAAGAUCGGCGCUCAAAAGGGAAACAGCCCAGACCAUCAUCUAAGGUCCCCAAAUUUACGCUAAGUGGGAAACAAGGUGGAAUUUCUUAAACAGCUAGGAUGUUGGCUUAGAAGCAGCCAUUCAUUUAAAGAGUGCGUAACAGCUCACUAGUCAAGAGAUUCUGCGUGGAAGAUAUAACGGGGCUAAGCGUAAUACCGAAGAUAUGGAUUGCAAUUUAUUGCAGUGGUAGCGGAGCGUUCCUAUCGGCAGUGAAGCCGGACUGUUAAGUACCGGUGGAGCGUUAGGAAGUGAGAAUGCUGGAACGAGUAACCAUAAGACAGGUGAGAAUCCUGUCGGCCGAAAGAGCGAGGUUUCCUGGGCUAUGGUAAUCAUCCCAGGGUUAGUCGGGCCUAAGCCGAGGCGUUUAGCGUAGGCGAUGGACAUCAGGUUAAUAUUCCUGAACUAGUCAAACUUUGUAUGCAGUUAGCGAUGAGAUAGGUGGAGCGGAUUCAUGGUUUAUCCGUUCAAGUGAUAGAGGAAUCUUGAUCGAGUAAAAGUGAACCUACGGGUUUACGAUUCCGCUGAAGGCAUUGACCAGAAAAGCUGGCAUACGCAUGGGUUUGGCUACCCGUACCGCAAACCGACACAGGUGCUCGAGUCGAGGAGACUAAGGCUUACGAGAGAAUGAUUGCUAAGGAACUCGGCAAUACAGCGACCGUAACUUCGGAAUAAGGUCUGCCUACAUUUGUAGGCCGCAGCUAAAGAGCCCACGGAACUGUUUAUCAAAAACUCAGGUCUCUGCUAACACGAAAGUGGAUGUAUAGGGGCUGAAACCUGCCCGGUGCCGGAAGGUUAAGGGGAUUGCUUCACGGUGAGAACUGAAGCCCCGGUGAACGGCGGCGGUAACUAUAACCGUCCUAAGGUAGCGAAAUUCCUUGUCAGGUAAGUUC